AUUGAACGCUGGCGGCAGGCUUAACACAUGCAAGUCGAGCGGAGAUGAGGUGCUUGCACCUUAUCUUAGCGGCGGACGGGUGAGUAAUGCUUAGGAAUCUGCCUAUUAGUGGGGGACAACAUUCCGAAAGGAAUGCUAAUACCGCAUACGUCCUACGGGAGAAAGCAGGGGAUCUUCGGACCUUGCGCUAAUAGAUGAGCCUAAGUCGGAUUAGCUAGUUGGUGGGGUAAAGGCCUACCAAGGCGACGAUCUGUAGCGGGUCUGAGAGGAUGAUCCGCCACACUGGGACUGAGACACGGCCCAGACUCCUACGGGAGGCAGCAGUGGGGAAUAUUGGACAAUGGGGGAAACCCUGAUCCAGCCAUGCCGCGUGUGUGAAGAAGGCCUUAUGGUUGUAAAGCACUUUAAGCGAGGAGGAGGCUACUGAGACUAAUACUCUUGGAUAGUGGACGUUACUCGCAGAAUAAGCACCGGCUAACUCUGUGCCAGCCGCCGCCGUAA
rnacentral:rRNA from 1 species